GGGUGGAUCUUUUGUUGUGAAUGAGUUUAUGAAUGAUGCUUUUAGGGCUUACUUUGUAAUCUAGUUUUACACUUGCAAGAUUUGGGAGAGAAAGACAGAUGGAGAUGGUCGAAUAGUAGUUCAAUCAAAUUCCAGAAGACACAAGUACUUGGAUGAUAGUGAAGAAUACGGGUAGGCUAGUAAAGGGAGGAAGAGGUACUGUGAGAUAAAAGGGAAAUUGAUAGUGAGUGCAAAUCCUCAAAUGGGCCCAUUGAUAACUAUCGCUAUAAGGCCUUUGAUUUGAGGGGGGUGUGUUGCUGCUGAGGCAAUAUUUAUAAAAAGAAUUAAUUUAAUAAAUAAAUAAUCAAAUAAUAAAUAAUAAGAAAUUGUAGUGAAAAGUCUCUUUCUCUCGUCCAUUAAUUGCCGGAAAACUUUACUGUAUGUGGCAAUAUGAAAAGAAACUGAUAUGUGAAGCCAUGAUUUGAGGGAGGUGGCUAUUUAUUUUAGGCAAGGAUUGGGAUAGGUCAAAUUGGGAGGGUGGAGCACCUAUCCUUUUUCAGACUACGUCACUUAUUCUGUUUGUCUUUUUUGCUGAUUAUCACACUGAUAAUUAGCUCAGUACAUCAGUAUAGAGGAUAUUCCAUA